GCGGAUGUAGCCAAGUGGCUCAAGGCAGU
rnacentral:tRNA from 7 species